rnacentral:rRNA from 1 species
GAUGAACGCUGGCGGCGUGCCUAAUACAUGCAAGUCGAGCGAACAGACGAGGAGCUUGCUCCUCUGACGUUAGCGGCGGACGGGUGAGUAACACGUGGAUAACCUACCUAUAAGACUUGGAUAACUUCGGGAAACCGGAGCUAAUACCGGAUAAUAUAUUUAACCGCAUGGUUCAAUAGUGAAAGACGGUUUUGCUGUCACUUAUAGAUGGAUCCGCGCCGCAUUAGCUAGUUGGUAAGGUAACGGCUUACCAAGGCGACGAUGCGUAGCCGACCUGAGAGGGUGAUCGGCCACACUGGAACUGAGACACGGUCCAGACUCCUACGGGAGGCAGCAGUAGGGAAUCGUCCGCAAUGGGCGAAAGCCUGACGGAGCAACGCCGCGUGAGUGAUGAAGGUCUUCGGAUCGUAAAAAUCUGUUAUUAGGGAAGAACAAAUGUGGAAGUAACUAUGCACGUCUUGACGGUACCUAAUCAGAAAGCAACGGCUAACUACGUG